CCGCCUUUGCACCCAAGGCCUCGCGCGACCAGCAGAUGGGGCCACUGAGGUGCAAAGAGUUUAACUUAUCCCAAGUCACACAGUUUGGAAGAGGCUGAGCUGGUAUUUGAACCCAGGUUUUCAGAGGCUGCACUCUUAACCACCAAGCUUCCCAGCACUCAGCAAACACUGGAAAGACAGAGAUGGACCUAGACAGUCAGUAGGACCAAAAGUCUGCAGGCCGAUAGGGAAAGAAUGUAAGAGGACGGCAUGGGCAGCGCCAGCCCCUCCAGCAGUCAUAUAUUAAGCCCUGGACACUGGGCAGCUCGGGCAGGUCGGGGGGCCUCAGACUCUCGGACCCCAUGCCUGGAAGACCACGGUCUGCCCAACAAGCAGCAGCUGCUGUGAAUCGACUUACACAUCUUCCCCACAGGUGAGCAGAGAGCUAACACCUGAGGAUAGGCCAAGAAACGGGAAGCCCGUGCAACCUGAGCGCACAGAUCACCCCCACCUGCCCGGCACUCACUGUCCCCAGUGGCUGGACUCUCAUCGGGCCAGUCACUGAGCUGGCGCCAGCCUGGUCUCACCAGUGUGUGUCUUUAAAUCAUCCAAUUUCUUCAGCUGUAAAUUGGGCUGGGAGGGGCCAGGUGAGCUGCCUGCCUCAGGGGAGUCGGCGCCCUUACCUGAGUGAUCCCAUUCACUCCUCACAACAAACCCAUGAGGCAGGGAUUGUCAUCUUCAUUGUACAGAGCAGGAAAUGGGUGCACACAGAGGUUAAGAGACUUGCCCAGGUCACACAGCUAGGAAGAGGCUGUGAUUUGAACUCAGUCUUCUGGCUCCAAAGCCCCCACAGAGUCACUCAGGGCACUACAAAGAGUUAACCUGAAUAUGAAAUGAUCUAAGAGUCGCAGUGACAAAGGCAUGCUCUAAGCGCUUUUCCUGCAGUAACUUGCUUAAUCCUUACAACAACCCUAUAAAGUGGGUACUGUUCUCGCCUCAUUUUGCAGAUGAGGAAACUGAGGCACAGAGCAGCUCGGAGGGGGCAGAGCUGAAUCUGACAGGCUACAGGGCCCCUGCGUUGCUUUGUUAUAAGAUGACAAUAAGGAAGUUCCUUUCCUUUGGGAUUAUUUCUGCCUGAAAGCUCAAGACUUUUAGCCACAUCAUUGUCUGGGCUCCACGGGAAGGCAGUGCCACAUGCUGAGGCAUGCUGGGAAAAGACUUUGUUCCAUCCUGUUUUGUUGACAUGCUCUUCAUUUUUAAGCCUGAAACCGAAGCUUCCUGCUAAGAAUUCAAACCAUGGAGAAAAACGCAGCCAUGAUAACGGCCACUACUUCCUGAGCCUCCAGUGUUCCCUGUGCUUGGGGAUCCAUAUAUGUCACUUAACCUUAACCUUCACAACACCAGGGCAGCCUCCAUUUUCACAAGUGAAGAAAUGGAGGCCCAGAGUCACUUAGAAGAUGCUCGAAGGUGCACAGCUGCUAAGUGGUGGUGCUGGGAUUUGUCCUCAGGUCCUCAAGAGUCCUGACUCUUAUGUGCUGGCUCCCCACGGAGGCGUGGAGUCUUGUUUGCUGGGCAUUUGACAGAAAUGUUUCUGCUCAUCUUCUGCCACAGGUUGGUCCUUCAGCGUCAAGAUUCCUGGGCCACUUAUUAAUAGAAGGCACCAGGACACAGGUGCAGGGAUGCAGAGCUGGAUGCUGCCUUCUCAAUAGGAGAAGCCAAGAAACGCAGAUGCCGAUGCUUAAUCAACUCCGUCUCUCCCUCUAGUGACUCGGGGAUAGCUGCCCUGAUGCCAAGGCGAUUGUCUUCUGGAAGCAGCCACGCCGUGUGAGGUUCCUCAUCACUGCCCUGCAUCUCCCUGCGAGCUCUCGGGGAUAAUUGCAAAAUCACGUUUGAUUCCAGGGGAGCAGAAAGCAGCAGGAGCCGUGAAUUCUCCAACUCUUAACUGGUCCUCGACUGGAGCCACUUUUCCCUGCCCACCCAUCCCUGUGGCGGAUUCAUUACAGUUAUCCAAAGCCGGUUUUAACUUUGCUCCCCCUGGCUCAGAAGUCUGUCAGUGGGUCCUGAGCGGCUUCACCAUUCAAGUUUAUUCCUAUCAGCCUGGAAUACAAUGCUCUAUCUGGCUCCGCUUGCUUCUCCAAACCUUCUCUCCCAGGUCUCAUUCUGCCUCUCUGUCUAACUAGACAAGUUGGCUUCCUGUCCUGUGCCUGUCUGCUCCCUGCAGCAGGAAUGCCGUUCCCUCUUCCCUACAGAUUGAAAUUAUAUCCUCUUUCAAGUCUUACUCAAAUGCCACCUCCUCCACAAACUCUUAACACUUAUUCAUUCAUUCAACAAACAUUGACUGAGCCCUUAUGACAAGCAUUGAUCCCAAGGGUCCCUGUGGUCAUGAAGUUUAUGGUGCCAUGGAGCUGUUAGAAAAAGAAUCAUCACAUAAAUAAUCAUCUGAUAACAGCCAUGAUACAAAUUAGUAAGAAAGUGUGGCAGGAGCACAGCAGAUGUACAAUAGGGACCCUGAGCCUUGGGGAUCUAGGACAUUUGAGCUGAGGCCUGAAAGACAAGUAGGAAGUAACCACAUGGUGAAGUUGGAGGAGAGCUCCAGGCAGAGGGCACGGCAUGGGCAAAGGCCCUGCGGUAGGAGGGAACAAGUAGAUUUCCAGGAAGGGCACAGGGGCCUGCAGGGUAAUGUAAGUGAAAUGAGAAAGCUGGAGAUGCAGCUGGAGCAGGACAGUACAGGCCACAGAGGCUUUGCGACUUUAUCCCUGGGCAAAAAGAGGAGAUGAUGAAGGAUUCUGAGCACAGGACACAAGCCAGUAUGUAUUUAGACGCGAUCCUGCCCUGUGGCUGAGCCUCUUCUGAGAAGUGCAGGCCCUGUGUCACGUCACCCUGAACCUCAGUCAUCAGGGUUUUGGAUGUGAGUUUCCAUAUCCCUCUUCCUAGGCCAAGCUCUCAAAGGCAAGGCUGACCUCUGGUCUUCAGCUUCAUCCUCAUCAGCCAGGCCAGUGCCCAGCACAAGGAGCUGCUCCAAAAACAUACGUGGGUUGAACCAGUGACCAGGACAAGACGCUUAUCAGCAUUUCCCUGCGAAGGAGCAGGGCUG
rnacentral:lncRNA from 10 species